AAACGAUGAGAUCAAAGAUGAUGGUGUGACGGAGAAGGGGGUAAUGUAUGGAAUGAGUGGUGCCACUGGCGGUUCUACUCGUUCUACCUUGUUCCCCACUGACUGUUCUCGAGCAGCUGCUCCACCUUCUAAACUGACUGUUCUCCUUGUUUUGGUUGAAACUUUGCAGCAGUAAAGAGUAAGAGGCUGCGUCGAUCCUUUCCUCUCCAACAUUUUUGCACAUAUCAGCACAUAUGAAACUGAAAAACAGAAUGCAUGAAGGUGGAAUUAAGGUUUAGGUACAAGGUAGGUACUAGUUAAAAAUGAGCUAACCACUCAGGAACAUCAAGAUAGGUAAGAAGGAUAAGAAGUCCUGAGUGUGAGUCUCGUUUUCCUGAUCUAAUGCCCAUAACAAGAGGAUUUUGCAGUCAAUAUUAGGUACAAGUUAGGUGGAUUUAAGUCUACCCAGUGUAACAUGAUCGGCUGAAAACUUCUGGAGAAUCAAGUGAGAUAAGCCAGGAUUGUUCCAGGUCCAAGUGUGGGUUUUUCGUCAUUGCUAAGGUCACUGAAUAAGAAAAUUAAAGCACGAGGUGGUU
rnacentral:lncRNA from 1 species